UAGACGCCAUGAGGUGAGGAUUCAGAGUC
rnacentral:piRNA from 1 species